UUCGCUAAGGACAUUCUUCGGAGUGGCCUCGUUUCUAGGACGCUUGUCCGCUUUCCAAUACAAGUUCCACCUCGUGGACAUGACUUUUUAUUAUCUGGCCUCAAAUCAGGUAGGACUACCCGCUGAACUUAAGCAUAUCAAUAAGCGGAGGAAAAGAAACUAACAAGGAUUCCCCUAGUAACGGCGAGUGAAGCGGGAAAAGCUCAAAUUUGAAAUCUGGCAGCCUCAGGUUGUCCGAGUUGUAAUCUAUAGAAACGUUUUCCGCGCCGGCCCAUGUACAAGUCCCUUGGAACAGGGCGUCAUAGAGGGUGAGAAUCCCGUCCUUGACACGGACCACCGGUGCUUUGUGAUACGUUUUCAACGAGUCGAGUUGUUUGGGAAUGCAGCUCAAAAUGGGUGGUAAAUUCCAUCUAAAGCUAAAUAUUGGCGAGAGACCGAUAGCGAACAAGUACCGUGAGGGAAAGAUGAAAAGCACUUUGGAAAGAGAGUUAAACAGUAUGUGAAAUUGUUGAAAGGGAAACGAUUGAAGUCAGUCGUGUCUAUUGGACUCAGCCGGUUCUGCCGGUGUACUUCCUUUAGAUGGGGUCAACAUCAGUUUUGAUCGCUGGAAAAGGGCGGGAGGAAUGUAGCACUCUCGGGUGAACUUAUAGCCUUCCGUCGUAUACAGUGGUUGGGACUGAGGAACGCAGCAUGCCUUUAUGGCCGGGG
rnacentral:rRNA from 1 species